rnacentral:rRNA from 1 species
AUUGAACGCUGGCGGCAGGCCUAACACAUGCAAGUCGAGCGAGCGGCGGACGGGUGAGUACUGUCUGGGAAACUGCCUGAUGGAGGGGGAUAACUACUGGAAACGGUAGCUAAUACCGCAUACCAUCAGCUGUGCCCAGAUGGGAUUAGCUAGUGGGUGGGGUAAUGGCCCACCUAGGCGACGAUCCCUAGCUGGGCUGAGAGGAUGAACAGCCACAAUGGAACUGAGACAAGGUCCAGAGGACUAAGGGAGGAAGAAGUGGGGAAUAUUGAACAAUGGACGCAAGCCUGAUGGAGCAAUGCCGCGUGAGUGAAGAAGGGCUUGGGGUUGUAAAGCACUUUCAGCGGAGAAGCGUUACCCACAGAAGAAGCACCGGCUAACUCCGUGCCAGCAGCCGCGGUAAUUC